UACGUAGGGGGCUAGCGUUGUCCGGAUUUAUUGGGCGUAAAGAGCGUGUAGGCGGCCAGGUAGGUCUGCUGUGAAAACUCGAGGCUCAACCUCGAGACGUCGGCGGAAACCAUCUGGCUAGAGUCCGGAAGAGGAGAGUGGAAUUCCUGGUGUAGCGGUGAAAUGCGCAGAUAUCAGGAAGAACACCCGUGGCGAAGGCGGCUCUCUGGGACGGUACUGACGCUGAGACUCGAAAGCGUGGGGAGCGAACAGG
rnacentral:rRNA from 1 species